rnacentral:lncRNA from 1 species
UACCUGCAAGUGACAUCCAAUCAUAAAGUCAAAAAAUAUCACAUCGGCAAAGAUUCAAAGUGAUCAAUUUCAUACAUACACCAGGAAAAACACACACCACAUGAUCGAAAAGCAGUUACAAUCAUAAAAAGAUAGAGACUUGUGACAUCGAAAAACAUCCACGUUUGCCUCAAAUUACAACAACAAUGUUAACAUUAGAAAUUUGUCGAAAAAAAUGUUAAAAUGUUAAAAUUAGAAAGAGAAGCUAAGUUAGAGCUUACCUUGCUACUACAAGCAUUCCAUAAAUAAACACAAUUUCCCAACCCAACAGCAAGCACAUUGUGCGAAGACCAAUCGACAAGAUUCAGAUAGAAAUCGUCCUGCAAAGCAGGUGCAUCCAAAACCUGAACAAGAAACAAAAUUUCCGUAAAUAAAAAAAAAAAAAAAAAAACCCAAUUCACAAUAUCCAAAAUCAAACCAAACCCAAAUCGGCAAAAGACUAGAAAGUGAUGAAAGUCACCUUAUAAGGCGACCGGGGAACCUUCCGAGGAGCCUUGACGGGGCUAUGGUGAACUCCGGUGACCACAUCAUCGAACCCAAAAGGGGAAAGCGAGUGCAUUGACCGGCGAGUCUCGGUCUUGAACCGGAAGAUGUUGGGGCUGGGCGGGUUCAUCUGAAUCGCGCUCCUUUUCUCGGGAGUCGCCGGAGGAACGACGCCGGCGGAGUCAGGUCCAAAGAGGGCAGCGCGUAGGAGAGUACCGUAGGCGCUUGACGAGUCAUCGCGGCCCUCGGAUGGAGUAUUGGAGAUGUCGAAGAGGGGGAAGUUGGAACCGGAUCUACUGGGGAUGAACCUAUCGGAGUAGAUGGUCCUGGACGGCGAUUGGUGGUGGUUGUAGUUGAUCAGGCGGUCGAUGUGCCGAGAUGGGGUUAGGGAAUGUAGUGCCUGAGGAGUGCGGAGCAGAGCCGGAGUCGAUGGGGUUGUGGGAGUGGUAUCCUCCAUAGAAGAUCAGUGUGUGUGUGGGUGUGGGUUUGUUGUCUCUCUGUCUGUGGGAGAGCGAAGGAAUUGGGAUGGGAAGGGAGAGAGAGGAUGGGAGGAGAGAGAAGGGGUUGAUGGGUGCUGGUAAUUUUCCCGGGAAAACGAGGUAAGAAAGCAGAGGAGAUAAUAAUCCCGGGAAAAUCGUAAGAGGGGGUUAUAUUGUGGUGCGUUUGGUAAGUCCUAUUCGCUCUAGUAAACUCUUUUAUGUUUUCUUUAACCAAAAUUGAGUGGGACUUCCUUUUCCUUGGCAAAAUUGGAUUGAGAUUUAACCAAAUUUCAAAUAAUGCUUAGAAUUUGGGUUUAAAAAACUUUUUUUAUUUUGUUUUAUAGGAUUGACAUUUACUUUAAUCUAAUUUAGAUUGUUGGGAGGUCAGGUGCGUAAAAACAUAAGCCUCGCUUUAGUAAAUGCAACAUGAUGCUACUAUUGCCUUAUGUCAUAUCACAUGUAAAAUAAGGGGUUGAGAGCUUAAGAUGAAAAGAUGGAUCACACAAGAAAAACUAUAUACCGUUAAUUUACGUAAAACUUCUUGACUUUUUCAAGCCACUUAUGUUUACAGGCAGGGGCGGAUCCACAGUGGGGUCGUCGGGGUCGAACGACCCCUUGGAAACCAUGGAAACAACCUUGAAGCUCCCAUAUGCGACCUCUUGGAGCUGGGGUCGUCGGGGUCGUCAGGAAGAGGAAGAAGAAGACUCGGCAGGAAGAGGAAGAAGAAGCAGCUCGCGCGACGUGCAGGUUCUGUGUAGAGUUUCUGACCUUUAAUUCCCACUUCACAGAGACGAGAGAGAGAGAGAGAGAGGGAAGGAAAGUCCUCGGGGUGGUGGUGAUGUAGACCUUCGUCGGGGUAGUGGUGUGGGUGUGCGUGGGUGUGGAUUCGAUCGGAGAGAGUGAGAGAGUUAAAGAGUGAA